AAAGUCGUAACAAGGUUUCCGUAGGUGAACCUGCGGAAGGAUCAUUACAAAUCCACGUCUCUUUCGAGACUUGUUGAAAUGUGUAAAAGGAGAGAGAGUGGGGGAAGGCUGGUAGGUGAGCUCAAGGCGUCCUUGUCGUCAUACAAGAACAUCACCAUGUGCACACUAUAUCUAUCCUCCUCUCCUCCUCCCUCCUUUAAUUGACUAGUGUUGAUCAGUUUAUUUCAUUAUAUGAACACAACUUAUAACAAUGGAUCUCUAGGCUCUU
rnacentral:misc_RNA from 1 species